rnacentral:rRNA from 1 species
UGGUUGUCGUCAGCUCGUGUCGUGAGAUGUUGGGUUAAGUCCCGCAACGAGCGCAACCCUCGACCUUAGUUGCCAGCAUUCAGUUGGGCACUCUAAGGUGACUGCCGGCUAAAAGUCGGAGGAAGGUGGGGAUGACGUCAAAUCAUCAUGCCCCUUAUGACCUGGGCUACACACGUGCUACAAUGGGCGGUACAAAGGGUCGCGAACCCGCGAGGGGGAGCCAAUCCCAAAAAGCCGCUCUCAGUUCGGAUUGCAGGCUGCAACUCGCCUGCAUGAAGCCGGAAUCGCUAGUAAUCGCGGAUCAGCAUGCCGCGGUGAAUACGUUCCCGGGCCUU